rnacentral:rRNA from 1 species
UACAGAGGUCUCAAGCGUUGUUCGGAUUCAUUGGGCGUAAAGGGUGCGUAGGUGGCGGGGCAAGUCAGGUGUGAAAGCCCUCAGCUCAACUGAGGAAGUGCGCCCGAAACUGCAGAGCUUGAGUGCCGGAGAGGGUGGCGGAAUUCCCCAAGUAGAGGUGAAAUUCGUAGAUAUGGGGAGGAACACCGGUGGCGAAGGCGGCCACCUGGACGGUAACUGACGCUGAGACGCGAAAGCGUGGGGAGCAAACAGG